rnacentral:rRNA from 1 species
CCACAAGCACACAACUCUCUCUCUCUCUCUCCUCAAGCCGCCCCUCCUCUUCGUCCCCACCGCCGGCGCGAGGUCUCGCACUCUUCCCACUCUUCUCAGCCCCUCCUCGUCGAAUCGGUCGCCAAAGUGCCCGAGGAUCCGCUCAAGCUCGGUCUGGUUGCUGGGCGCCGGACGAAGGCUGACGCGGAGGCGCGGGAAUUGCCUCCACCAGAUCGGCGGCUGUGGCAAUCAUGUGUCGCAACCUCCGCGCCUGGUGCCUUCCUUUCCAUCUCGCUCGUCGGCGGCUCCCACCACCCUGUGCGUGCGACUGCGCUGCGCCCUGUAAUGCCCAUGUGCGGCAGCUGUGCCGCGGUGGAUGGUCCCCUGCAAGUGCAAGCCGGUGCCGGCUUACAAGAAAUGGAUAUUGAAGACCAUCUAAGAGUCAGGGAAUUUGUUCGAUCCUAAAUUUUUGGGACUCUGAAAUAAACACAGAGAUGGGAAUGGGGAGGCAUACCUGCCUGCCAUAUACAUCAACCCGAAGCUUUUGAGCAUUGUACAGAACAAGUAAUUGACAGGUUUACUUCAUGAUAGUCUUGGAUUUGGUUUGGCCAAAAUGAUCAAGUACUUACUACAUAAUUUCUGAAUUUACCAAUUAUUUUUUGAAUGCAUCAGUUAGACAACGGUGAUACAUCAGAGCGUCUCUUUAAUAGAAACGACUUAAUUUUGGAGGAGGACUACCCCGUUCCCAAAUCCUAGCUCCGCCGUUGAUGAUACCUGAAUUUACUUUAGUAGAUCUUCUCUUGUAAAAUCCAAACUGUUUCCGAGCCUAUAUGUUUUGUUUCAUAUUGUUGUUUAUCAUGCAAUACUUAUCCUGCAGCCAUCUGAUAUGCAAAUUUGAUAAUAGAAGAUGACCAAAUUUGUGUACAGGAAAAUGCAUAUUCUUGGACUGGGUUUUCUUCUCCACUCUAUUGGACCAAGUUACAAAUAGAUCAUACUUACUGGGUUUUAUUCAUUCAGUCAUACAGAUUCGAG